GAGAGGGAGGUCCAUCCAUAAGUAAAAGCCUAAAGAUAGGUCACCCUCCGGCGAGAAGAACAUGAAAUAAAAAGGAAGAGGCUCGACGUACAGGCAUUUCAUCGAAUGCUUGGUGCGCACCUAUUCGUCGGAUCAUAUCGCCUUCUCCGGUACCCCGCGGUAGGGUUAUGGGAACCCAACCCUAUCCGUUAGCCAGGCGGCGAACCGGAGAAGCGAAGAAGAGCGCUCCAAACGGGCGAUGCACGUCGCAGCAAAAUUACGAACCCAACACCGACUCGACUUCGACGGCGUAUCCAACGGUGUCAACUCGAACCGCAUCCUUCUUUAGAUUUCUCUUAUCUUCUAAACCAGCGGGUCGACGAAACGCACCCUUUAGCCUUCUCCAACUAAGAAGAGCAUGAGAUGCGGCCCCACGUCGGCACAACGCGUAUCAAUCGAUCGACACACCGGUAAACGAUUCGGGUGAGAGAUUUGUAUGUGCCGGCUCGGGACCGAGCUCCGUAAACCAAACCGGGUCGGGUUUGUGCACGGUGUCCUAAAAGCCCAACCCAUCACAUCUGACCUAAUCUUGUUACGUACUUAUUGAUCACGAUCCGGUCAGAUUUCGACACGUUGAACUCAAUCGAUCAAUCUUGCCAUGUCAUCAUGAAUUAAAGGACAAAAAUAUAUUUUUAAAAAAUAUUUGUUCGAAUUUCUUAACUCGUACUGCGGAUUCAUGACAUUAUGAGAAUUUACUUUUUAAGUAUUUUAUACUUAUAUUUUUAUAAUGGAUGAAUAAUGAAAACAAGACUUGAAUUCUGAACGGGCGACACCCAUCUCAUGGUCGACCUGCUACACGUUUGCUAACAAAGCAUCUCGAAAUUGAGGGCAGCAGAAAUCGUGCAAGUCAGCUCGUACUCUGUGAGACGAUGCUAUCCUACCUUAAGCCAUCCACGAUAACAUAGGGUAGUGUCAUACGGCGCAAAGCCGUGCAGGUCAACCCGAGCCGUACGGAAAGCAUGGGUUGGCCUCUCGAGGUAUCAUAGAUUAUUAAUGAGCCUCAUACGAUCAAUCAUUCGACAAACAAGUAUAAAAACCAAUUCCCUCCCCACUGACAAGGGGAGCAUACCUCAAACAUCUAUGUACUAUCUCGAGCUAACUUAAAUUUCAAAUGGAUCAAGUCAGAAAAUCCUUCUCCUGAUGUUGACUUUUCUCAAGAGGGAGGAGCGGCAAUCAAUGGCCCACCUUGAGUCGACCGAUGAGGUGCUCCCUGACUUGACUUGGUUCCUCCGUCACAUUAUCGGAUCCUCGUGUGGGUGACCCUACAUCCUUGUCACGAUAGAACUAAGCGUAGAGUUCCAUAAUACCUUUCCAUAACAAAUUGCUUACCAAAACCAUAUAAACUCAUUGCAAGUUUGAUCUCAUCGACUUCUUCCUUACUGAUUCAGGUUCUUAGUAUUGUUUGAUGUGCCUAGAGAUUCGAAACCAAUCUAAAUUUAAUAUUUAAAUCUAUCACAAAUCUGGGUGCUAGAAUAUACUCGAGCCCGACUAAAUUUUCUGUACGAUUAUGUGCAUCCAAUAAAGAUAUUUUUUCUGAUACUUAAAUUAGAAUAAAAAAUUAACAAUUUAAAAAUAUUAUUAGCAAAAAAGUAAAAAUAGGAUAUUAUAUAGGUCUUUUUAUGAUGAUUUUCGGCAAUAAUUAGAAGAAAGUGAAAAUUAAUUAUGUGAAAUCUUCGAACUAUCUAUCGGAUCCAACCAACAAACAAACAACACCGUACAAACAACGAGGCGGUAUCCUAUCACGCCAUUGACUUGGUUGCGGUCGUCCUCGUCCUUAUCUUCCCGAGUUCUGGCCCCCACGGCGCAGGGCCCCUCGUGACGUCGAUUCAGCUAAUAUUCCCGAGUUCUGGCCCCCACGGCGAAGGGGAAGUGCUUCUGUCCUUCAACCAUAUCCCCCUCGUGACGUCGAUUCAUCCUCGGAAGUACGUCCUUUCCUUAAGCGAUUGGACCACCGAGGCAUAUGUAGUAACGCAAGUACAAGUUUAAUUAUCAUACGGUCAACAUCAAGCAUACAAACAACGUAUAUUGGACCCUUCCAAGGAUCUGACGAGGAUAACAAUGAUGAUAAAACUCGGAUUGACGUCAGCUAUCCCAGAUGAUGCCUCGCGUCUCAAUUGACCUGACACCACCUGGUCAAACAAAUCGGAACGUCGGACGAGGCACAUUAACAUCCUGCUCAGGCUCGGUCCUUCACGCCACGCCAACACCGCUGUCAUACGUUACUAGGAGUACGAUCCUGCUCUCUGCAAACGGGCACAUAGCAACGGUAACCUUCAUUAUAAAAACCCUCGCGCUCCGAGGGGGAAAAGGGAGAGAAAAAGAACUAAAACCCCCUACGACUAUUCACUAACUUGAUCGUCGGAGGGAUCGGGCCAAGCUUUUCCGACCCGACCUAUGUGCAAGUACGAAGCCAGACCGCCUUCCCCGAAUGCCCAGGAGAGGAGUCUCAUCCCGGAGCGAAUGGCAGCCCCGUCGGGAUCGCACCAAGCAAAGUCGACUGCCUUAGCAGUCUCCGUGGUCAUCCAGAAAGAUCCCCGCCCAUUCGGACCCGAACCAAGCCCUGUUAGCCCCGAGGCCAUGGCUUAAAGUUGUUGUUGACACUAACAUUUUGACGCUAGAAGGAGGGCUCGAAUGUCGAGGGAUCGACCGAUCGACUCAGACAAACCCGCAGCUGAGGGGUCACACUCGAUCGGGGCUCCGGGGGAACACCCCCCUGUAUGGAGAACCUCGCGAUGAACACCCUGUCACGACCUCAUAGCGCUAUUGGCGGAUAUUCAACGACCCGGGCUUGUCGCCACCCGAUGAUGCCAUAGCCAACCCGUCGCCCGUGUCGUCAGAGGCCUUUCAGGACCUCACUCAUCAAGUCCGAACUCUGACCGGUAUCGUGCAGUCCAUUAUCCCACUUGUUUCUCGUCCGCUGCACCCACCUGCGAUCCAACCGCUGCGGCAACAGGAGCCGCCCGUUCGGGCUCACACGCCACCUCCGGAGCUCCCCACUUCGCCUCGGGUCCGAUCAGCCCCACUCAGGGAUCGGGCGAUUGCAAACCCGAGCGGGCACCUAGAAUCCAAAGCAUUAUCUUCGGAUUCAAUAGACUCCCUACGAGCCCAGCUGCGCUCUAUUGGUCAGCGGCUCGACAAAGUGCAGAAGGAGGUUCGUAGGUCGAAGGGAGAGCUCGGGAGGGAUACACACCAGGGGUCUUCGUUCGUACUCGAGAUACAAGAUCAAAUAGUUCCCCCGAGCUUCCGGCUCCCCUCUCUUGACUCGUAUGAUGGAGCCACCGAUCCAUCAGACCAUGCAGCCGCUUUCUGCGCUCAAAUGUCGUUGUAUGGAACCUCGGACGCCUUGAUGUGCAGGGCGUUUCCCACGACUCUAAAAGGCCCGGCCCGCUCAUGGUAUAGCGGCCUGAAGACCGGGACAAUCGCCUCCUUUGAUCAGCUCGUCAAAGAUUUCGAGCUUAACUUCUUGGCCUGCGCCCGGCCAAAGCCGUCCGUGACACUGCUCCUCAGACUCAACCAAAAGGAGGACGAGCCCCUCUCCCACUUUGUAAAUCGUUUUACUACGCAAAUCCGGGGGUUGCCGGACGCUCAUCCCUCUCUGUUGAUGCAGGCUUUUAUGAUAGGCUUGCGGCCCUCCAGAUUCUUCUGGUCCUUGGUGGAAUGACCCCCCACCGCGGUCCCGGAGAUGCUCCAACGGGCAAACCAGUUCAUUGCGGCAGAGGUCUGGAUGGCCGGGAAGCGGGAGGAACACAAAAGGGUCAGGACAGAGCCGUCCCGCGGGCAACAGUCUACCACACCGAGGUGCAGAUUGGACCGCCCCGACCCGCUAGCAUUAACAUCUCGACUCCCCUCCUCGGGUGCGUCCCGAACAUAUAUAUUUCUCCAGAGAAGAGACAAAUGGUUGCUCAGAACCCCCAACCCGAUGAGAAAUCCGCGGGAACUCGCGGAUUGGUCGAAGUAUUGUCGUUUUCAUCGGUAAAGCGGGCACGACACUGAGGUGUGUCGCGAAUUGAAGCGACAGAUUGAGGAGCUCAUCCGCAAAGGGCACCUCGGUCGGUAGCUCUAGCAGGGCGAGGAGCUUUCCCCCCGCCUAAAGGGUCCUGUCGAGCGUCUGAUCAAUGUGAUCACUGGCGGCCCAGCGAUCGGGGGGAAUAGUAUGUCCGGACGGAAGGCAUACGCCCGGGCUACCGUGGCCGAGGCAUAGACCCGACCCCGAGGUCACAUUUCCUGCCGAAGGGGCCGGGCGGUCCGAACAUGACGAUGCACUUGUCAUAACGGCCAGGAUUGCCAACGCUAAGUAAGGAGGAUUAUGAUCGACACAGGGAGCUCAGCCGACGUACUUUAUUUCGACGCCUUCCGGAAGCUUGGGUUAGCCAGAGAAACUUUGGAGACGAUGACCUCGGCGCUCACCGAGUUCACCGACGACUCGAUUUCGUCGUUGGGAGUGGUCACUUUACCCCUAACCUUGGGAGCACCACCAAGAUCGAAGACGGUGAUGUCCACCUUCUUAGUGGUCGACCUCCCCACUGCAUACAACGCCAUCCUCGGUCACCCAACCCUUAACAAAAUCAGGGCCGUCGUCUCCACUUACCACCAAACGGUGAAGUUCCCGACCCACGCUGGGGCCGGAGAAGUCCGGGGAAGUCCCCGUGAAUCCAAGCGGUGUUACUUGACGGCAGUCUCACUACACAAAUGGGCGAGAACUAAGCAACCCCUGGGGGAUCCCCGAGAAAUGAAGAAGCCGACCCAACAUCCCGAGCUGACGGCGCCAACUUGCGACUUGCCGUUAGUGGAGGAUCGGUCGGACCGGACGAUCAGAAUCGGGUCGGAACUCCCCGAGCAAGAGAGAAGGCAGUUCAUCGGCUUCCUACAGGAGAACGCCAACGUCUUCGCUUGGUCACCAUCCGACAUGACAGGCGUCGACCCGAAGACGACCCAACAUUACCUGAGCAUAGCGCCCGAUGCUCGACCAAUAAAGCAGAAGCCCCGACGACAAGCUCCUGACAGACAAUUGGCUAUCCACGAAGAGGUGGAGCGACUUUUAGUAGCAGGCUUCAUAGAAGAAGUCAAAUACCCGCGAUGGCUGUCCAAUGUAGUCCUUGUGAAGAAAACUAAUGGGAGCUGGAGGAUGUGUGUUGACUACACCAGUCUCAAUCGUGCAUGCCCAAAAGACUGCUACCCCCUCCCGAGGAUCGACUAGUUGGUCGAUGCAACCGUUGGGCAUACUCGCCUUUCGUUUAUGAACGCCUUCUCCUGCUACAAUUAGAUCAGAAUGGCGCCGAUGACCAAGAGCACACGACCUUCCUCACCGACCUGGGGGUAUAUUUCUACAAGGUUAUGCCGUUCGGGCUGAAGAAUGCUGGUGCUACGUAUCAGAGAGACGUGAACAAAAUGUUCACCCAAUAGAUCGAGAGGAACAUCGAGAUCUACAUCGACGACAUGAUCGUAAAGAGUCGUGCGACAGCAGACCACUUGACCGAUUUGGCUGAAAUGUUUGCUGCAUUGCGAAGAUAUGGCCUACGACUCAACCCGACAAAAUGCGUUUUUGGUGUCAGCCCGGGAAAAUUUCUCGAAUUCAUCAUCCACGAGAGGGGAAUCGACGCCAACCUAGAAAAGGUUCAAGCGAUCAUCGGUAUGCAAACCCCUCGGACAAUCAAGGACUUGCAGCAACUUAACGGGAGGCUCGCCGCCCUAUCCCAGUUUCUAUCCCGAUCUGGUGAUCGUUGCCUCCCCUUCUUCCGGGCCUUGAAAAACCCGAGUAACCUUCAAUGGACGGCGAAAUGCGAGGAAGCCUUCGUACAUGUGAAACAACACCUCGCCAGCCUUCCCCGCCUUGCAUCGGUCUCUCCUGGGGAGAAGCUCAGUAUCUACCUGGCCACCUCCCGGCACGCUGUUAGCUUCGUCCUGACAAAAGAAGCCCCAGGUGACCAGUUGCCGGUCUACUACAUCAGCCAUGUCCUAAACGAGCCUAAGAAGCGGUACCCGCCGAUCGAAAGACUCGCUCUGGCGCUCGUGCUGAUAGCUCAAAAGCUACGCCCCUACUUCCAAGCUCAUCCGAUUGAGGUAAUCACCGACCAACUGCUCCGGCAGGUUUUAUCUAAAUUUGAUGUUGCAGGUCGGCUCCUCAAGUGGUCGGUAGAGCUUGGAGAGUUCGACAUACACUACGUGCCGAGGACUAUCAUCAAAGCCCAGUCGGUAGUCGACUUCAUCUCGGAACUGGCUCAGAUUGAGGAUGAGGAUUCUGAACAGCUUGGGGAGGCAUGGGUCCUGCACGUGGACGGAUUGGCUACCUCGAGUGGCGCAAGCGCAGGAUUGGUGUUAUCAGCCCCCGACGGACGCUCAUUUGAACGCUCCCUCCGCUUCGGGUUUCAAGCUACCAACAACGAAACCGAAUAUGAGGCACUCCUGACCGGACUCGGGCUGGCCCUCGAGAUGCAGGUGAAUGCUAUUAACGUCCUCACUGAUUCGCAGCUGGUGGCCAAGCAACUCAGCGGUAGAUACGAGGCCAGGGAACCUAUUAUGGCAAAAUACCUGGCAGAGGUAAAAAGCCUGCCUCCGACUUCUCUCGCUUUAUGAUAUCUAGGGUGCCGAGGAGUCAAAACGAGUGAGCCGAUGAGCUAGCCAAACUUGCCUCAAGGUCGAACCUCGAAGUCCAGCCCGAGAUCGAAGAGCUCCCUUUCCGAGCUAUCUUGAUCUCGGCCGUGUCUUCGACCGAUGCGUGAACUACAUGGGUGCAGGAGAUGCUGCACUUCAAGCGUGACGAGAUUCUUCCCGCCGACGAGACCGCGGCACGGCGCAUACGCCGAAUGCAUGCAUGGUACUCCGAUGUGAACGGACAGCUCUACAAGCGGUCCUUCUCACAUCCUCUCCUGCGGUGCCUCGAGCCCGAAGAAUCUCGGACGGUCCUGGCCGAGGUUCACGAGGGGAUUUGCGGAGAACAUAUCGCUGGGCGGACCUUGGCGUACAAAAUCCUUCGCCAAGGGUACUAUUGGCCCACCAUGUCCCGAGAUGCAAGAUCUUACGUACAGCGGUGUGGCCCGUGCCAGAGGCACGCCUGAACGCCCCGGCAGCCCGCGGUUCCGCUCGCCCCCAUUGACUGUGUGUGGCCAUUCGCACAAUGGGGAUUGGACCUCCUCAGACCUUUUUCGUAGCCUUGUGGCAGUGAAGAUACAUUGUCGUGGGAGUGGAUUACUUCACGAAGUGGAUUGAAGCCGAGCCGCUAGCAACAAUCACGAAACAUCAGGUAGAAAAUUUUGUGUGGAAAAAUAUCGUGACUCGGUUUAGCCUGCCAAGGACUAUCAUCACAUACAACGGGGCCUAGUUCGCCAAUGCGCGAUUCCAACAGUUCUGUACGAACUACAAAGGGGGGAGGGAAUAUGUUGAGGGUAAUAAUGGCGAUAAGACUCGAGUUGACGUCAGCUGCCCCAGAUGACGCCUCAUGCCUCGGUUGACCUGACACCACCUGGUUAAACAUACCGAAAUGUCGGCCGAGGCACAUUAACAUCCUGCUCAGGCUCGAUCCUUCACACCAUGCCAACAUCGCUGUCAGACGUUACCAGGAGUACGAUCUUGCUCCCUGCAAGCGGGCACAUCAGGCAAUGGUAACCUUCACUAUAAAAACCCUCGCGCUCUGAGGGGGAAAAGAGAGAGAAAAAGAACUAAAACCCCCUGCGACUAUUCACUAACUUUAUCGUCGGAGGGGUCGGGCUGAGCUUUUCCGACCCGACCUGUGUGCAGAUACGAAGGCGGACCACCUUCCCCGAACGCCUAGGAGAGGAGUCCCAUCUCGGAGCGAACGACGGCCCCAUCGAGAUCGCACCAAGCAAAGCCGGUUGCCUCAAUGGUCUUCGGGGUCGUCUAGGAAGAUCUCCACCCAUUCGGAUUCGAACCGAGCCGUGUUGGUUCCGAGACCACGGCUUAAAGUUGUUGACACUAACUGGACCCACCUGUGUUGACCAAUAAUUUAUUGAUUUGCCUUAAAGAUCACCCGUGACUUAUGCACCCACGGGUCUUGUGAAUGGAGGACGAGAUAGAGCCGCCAUUGCCUCCGAUCAUAAGAAGCUAGCCGUCAGGGUCACGGAUGUGCGGGUAGAUGGAGUAAUUGUUCUGCGAGGCCGACUCGGUCCGAGUCGUGGACUACAUUCGACCCGGCCGAAUGGCGGAGCCCAUCUCCUUGGCCAUCUCCCUUAGCACGUACUUCUGUAUCUUCCCCGUCGACGUCUUCGGCAGCUCCGCUCGGAACACCACCGUUUUCGGCACCAUGUAGCGCGGCAUGCGCUCUCGGCACCACGCGAUCACCUCGCUCUCUGUCGGUGGCGCCGCCGACGCUUCCUCCUUCAGGCCGACGAACGCGCACGGCGUCUCCCCCCAGAACUCGUCCGGUCGCGCCACCACCGCCGCCUCGUUCACCGCUGGGUGGCCGUACAGGAUGGUCUCCACCUCCACGCUGCUUNNNNNNNNNNNNNNNNNNNNNNNNNNNNNNNNNNNNNNNNNNNNNNNNNNNNNNNNNNNNNNNNNNNNNNNNNNNNNNNNNNNNNNNNNNNNNNNNNNNNNNNNNNNNNNNNNNNNNNNNNNNNNNNNNNNNNNNNNNNNNNNNNNNNNNNNNNNNNNNNNNNNNNNNNNNNNNNNNNNNNNNNNNNNNNNNNNNNNNNNNNNNNNNNNNNNNNNNNNNNNNNNNNNNNNNNNNNNNNNNNNNNNNNNNNNNNNUCGCCAUCCCCGCCGUCUCCGUUAGGCCGUACCCGUGGCUGACGGCGAAGCCGAGCGCCUCCGUGCGGUGGAGCACCGCGGCGGGGGCGGCGCCCCGGCGGUGAGGACCUGGACCGGGCCGUGGAGCGGGCGACGGGCGGAGUCCGGGGCGUUGGCGAGCAUGUUGAGGACCACGGGGGCGCCGCACAUGUGGGUCACCCGGUGGGUCUCGAUUGCGGCGUAGAUGGCGGCGGCGUCGAAGCGGCGGAGGCAGACGUUGACGCCGCCGACGGCGGCGAUGCCCCAGGGGUAGCUCCACCCGUUGGCGUGGAACAUGGGGAGCGUCCAAAGGUAGGUGGGCCGCCUCGGCACGGACCAGUCGAUGAGGGAGUCGAUGGUGAUGAAGAAGAGGCCGCGGUGGCAGUGAACCACCCCCUUGGGGGCGGAGGUGGUUCCGGACGUGUAGUUAAGGACCAUAGGGUCCCACUCGCUGCGGGGACGGACCCACCGGAACUCCGGGUCCCCCGUCUCGAGAAGCUUCUCGUAGGUGAGGGCGGAGCUCUGUGGCGACGGCGCGUCCUCGUAGGGAUCCUCGAUGGUGACUACCCGAGGGCGCUCGGCGGAGGCGGGGAAGAGUCGGAGGACGUCGUCGAGGAGGGGGCAGGAGAGGACGUCGACGAAGACGAGCUUGGAGGCGCUGUGGCGGAGGAGGAUGGAGAUGGUGCGGGCGUCGAGGCGAAGGUUUACGGUGUUGAGGACGGCGCCGCUCAUCGGCACGCCGAAGUGCAUCUCGUACAUGGCCGGAACGUUGGGUGCGAGCACCGAUACCUAAACCAAGAUCCAACGAUAGCGCCACAGGAUCGAACAAGAUCGAAUCUCGAAGCAAAGAGAGACAACAAAAAAGAUGGGAUUUCAAUGACACGGAUCCUAAUAUGGAAACAGGAGGAGGAGGUUGCAGCGGUACCACAUCGCCGGGGGAGAUGCCGAGGGAGGAGAGGGCGGAGGCGAGGCGGAGGCAGCGGCGGAGGGUCUGCGACCAGGUGAAGGCGGUGCGGUUGUAGACGAGGGAGGGGCAGUCGCCGUAGACGGUGGCGGUGCGUUCGAGGAACUCGAGCGGCGUGACGGGGCAGCUGUUGGCAGCGUUGGGUCCCAAACCAUCCAUGGCGUUCCGCUGCUCUUUUUUGGUGGAAGGGGGCGAUCUCCUCCGGGUUGGGAUUUAUAGGAGAGCAGACUGGGAUGGUUACCGUUGGCGGGAAUGCGUCUAAGUCCAUCCAUCUUCUUCUAGUAGUCGAUCUUCGGGGAUAGCUUGUCAUAAUUUUCCAUUAUUAGUGGAAAGAUUUGGAAAACACGGCAGAAGCAUGAUGAGAAAACCAGCUCUGUCGUUAUCAUCUUCUUUCACGCUGAUGGGGACAGCUCAGACCUUGAGAUCGGAGCAAAUGGGCCUCCGUCGCAAUAAUUAUCCAAGCCAGCCUGUCGCGGUGCCCUCCGCUCCGCGUUAAGAUUCCUACGGCGGCAUGGGCCGGACUUACGGUCCAACCCACCGAGGGCCCAAACACCACCACCAUACUAACCACCUCGGUGCCUCCGAUCGGGUCACAAACCAACGCUAAUGAGCUCAGCGAAACGGUCCGAGUCCCGAGGCUUAUUGUGUAACCCGAAUCUAUCGAUGUGCGACUAAAAGGCUCACCCGAGUCCAUUUAAGUUGUGCUACCGAAUCGACUUGGAUGGUGAUGACAAUGAUUGCGUUGCAACAUCAUCAUGUGACCUCCUCUAAUAGCGAUGUCAAUUGCAUGCACUACUGAACAUGGCGUCCAUUGCCCCCUCUCUGUCACUCUUUUUCUUUUUACCCAAACCAUAUGAAAGAAAGCGAGAAGAAGAAGAAGAAGAAGAUGCAUUGCAGGGAUCCAUCUGCCAAACAUAUCCCACAGUUCAGAAUUUGAGGGCUCCACGGAUCAGAGCCAAUUCUUUUGAUCACAGGAGCUCCAAUCAUUGUGUGAACGUUUUGGUAGAUAGAUAGGCCUCACAUGCAUGUCAUCCUCUUUUCACUCUCUCUUCUUCUUCUUCAUGUUUUGGUAGGUUGAUAGAUAGGUCUCACAUGCAUGUUGAUGAAUUGACGUCUCAUGGUUGGUGAGUCAGCACGGCCUGAUCCACGUAUAAUCACAUCAAAUAUUUAAGUUAGGAAUUAAAUUUUCUUUUCUUACUUGUCAUUGUAAUUUAAGGAAUUCUUAAUCUAUUUCUUUGUUUGUUUAUAAGAAUUAAGGAAAUAACUAUUAAGCAUUUCAAAUAGAAUGAUAUCAUAUUUGUUAGUAUAUUAAAUAAAAAAAAUUAUAUUAAAUAAAUACGAAAAUAAAAAUAUAUUCCCUUUAAUGGAGGCUCACCUCCUAUUUAAGGGGAGGGAUUUCUCUCCUUCGUUCCUCAUCUAUUCGAGCUUAGCAGCGGGAGGAACGAGGAGUUACACCUUGUUGACGAGAGGUAGCCUUUCUUGAAUAUAAAAGUUUUAGUUUUUAUUUUGAUUAUUUAAAUAUUGAAAGUUUUAUAAUUUAAAAAAUAUUUAUCAAUCCUUUAAAUGUCAAAAUUUUUAUUAUUACAGUAAAGUAAUCAGUUAAAGUUUUUAUAAUGCUUUUCAACCUAUAAUUAAGAUUUUUAUUAUAGAUUUAAAUAUGUUAAAAAUUUAUAUAUUAUAUAUGAUAUUUACUGCAUUACAGUUUAUCUUUAAUCUUAUCUGGAUUAAAAUCUUGUUAGAUAAAAUAUGUUAUCAAAAUUUUUUUUUUAAUAUUCUUUGAUCUGAAAUUUAAAAUAUGUUAUUCUGAAUGAUUUAAAAUUUGACUAGAAUAUGUUGAAAUUUUAUAUGUGUUGAAAGCAUAAUUUAUAUUUGAAUUUAGAAGGUUAUUUCCUUGUAUUAAAACUUAUCUCCCAAUCUAUCUUUUAAUGUGUUAUGAUUUCUAUUUAAAUUUAAAAUGUUAUUUCCUUGUAUUAAAGUCUUUCUCCUUAUCUAUCUUUUAAUGCAUUAUUAUGUUUUUAUUUAUAUUGUUAAUGGGUAUAUGCUGUGAUAUGAAAUUGGAUAGUAAUUGGAAUGAAAUUGCUCACAGGCCAGGCCCAACCCACGGGACAGGCCUUGGCCGUAGGCUAACCCAGCCCAACCAUCAUGGGCGAUCACAUGCGAUGCACAUGACCAGCCCAUGGGCCACGGUUGGGCUAACUUUGUGUGAUGCAUGUUCAAUCAUGUAUAAUGCACAUGACCAAUAGAUGCGAUAGCUCAAUCUAGCCAAAUAUUAUUAUUGGAUUUGAGCCCAAAUAUUGAUUGAACUAAACUAGACUUAAUUAGUCUAGAUCAAUUUAGGGUGAUUCCAAAUUGAUUGACUUAUUCAAAUUAUUUUAACCUAAAUUGAACUUAAUCUAAUCCAAAUUAUACUAGUCCAGGGUGGUUCCAGACCAGUUAAAUAAGGAUUAGAGAUUGGUUCAAUUAGGUUGUAGUAAAUUGAGUUUAAUUGAAUCGAUUGAACUAGAGUUCAAGCUAAUUGACGACUAAUUUGUAUUAUUUGAUAUUGAUGAUAUUUGAAAGAGAUAUUUUAAAUAUGUUAUUUCAUCCCGAAAUGGACAUGACUAGUGUGAGAUUAUAUUAUUUUCCUACCGAGAGCAGGUAGGGCGAUUCCCUUCGGGGAUUAGCGGGUCAUCAGACGUGGCAGUUGGAUGAUUCCUUCAUACACUAUUGGGAGGAACGUGUCCCCACUUUGGCGGGUGUGGGACACCACUCCAUCCGCUGUUGGGAGUACGAUAUGAGUUUGCCUCCAUCCAUUGUUGGGAGAACAUAAACUCAUCCCGUAGGAUAAAGCCUCUCCAUCUGCUAUUGGGGGAGUACUCAUUCAGGUAUUUGAUAUACGCUAAUGGGAUGAUUGAUUGAAUUUUAAUCAUGUAUUCAUUUUGAUUUAACUUUUGGGGUUCCUACUCGGCGUUACGAAAUUUUCUUUGUUUUUGAUUUUCAGAGAAGCCUUCCUCUAGUACUAAGUCAGAUUCCAAUGGAGAGAGGACCUUCCUCUACCGCUAGGUAGAGCUACUUGGAUGAUUCUUGAAGUUAACAUCACUAUGUUUACUUUUCUAUUUGUAAUUUGAUGAAUAAAAUAAUUAUAAUAAAUGGUUAUAAAUGAUGAAUAAAGUGAUGUUUAUCUAUUUAGCUUGAGUGUGUAGAAAGAUACGAAAAAAAAAAAAAUCUAGGAUUUGACAUCUUUUAUGGUAUCAGAGCAUAGUCUAGGGCCUGUAGGUGUAUUAGGUCUCUUGAUUGACUCUAACCAAUGAUUAUCUUUAACUUAUUAUAGGAGUAAUGGAGUCAAUUCUAGAUAUUAGUGGUCCUGUCACUCGGGGUGCUCAUGGUUGCAAUGCUACUGGUGUACGCACUCGGAGAGGUGUUCAAACAAAUAAUAACUUGGAAGCUCCAUGCAUCGUAGAGCAAACCCAAUCCUUACGUACACCUAUCACCGAUUAUGUGCCAACUUCUCUGACUUUGUAGAAUGCCCCUCAUGCCCCAACACCCGUCAAUACUCAAGAUGACGUACACGGAGUCCUCAAUGCUAUUAUAGGAUACUUUGAGUGUCAAGAGGAACGAGAUGAAACACCAUGGGGUAGGAAUAAUACCUUAGAUCACUUUAAGAUAUUGGGACCACCAGUUUUUUAGGACAAGCCAGAUCCAAUCUUUGCUGAACAUUGGAUUCGUCAAGUGGAAAAGAUAUUAAAAGCUAUCGAAUGUAGAGAAAAUCAGAAAGUGCCUUUUGCUUCUUUCAUUUUGGAAGGAAAGGCAGACACUUGGUGGACCUCAAAAAGGAGGAUGUUAGAGGCUGGAGGUUCCUACUCAGCGUUGAUGAAUUUUUUUUGUUUUUGAUUUUCAGAGCAGCCUCCCUCUAGUACUAAGUCGGAUUCCAGUGGAUAGCGAACCUUCCUCUACCGCUAGGUAGAGCUACUUGGAUGAUUCUUGAAGUUAACAUCACUAUGUUUACUUUUCUAUUUGUAAUUUGAUGAAUAAACUAAUUGUAAUAAAUGGUUAUAAAUGAUGAAUAAAGUGAUGUUUAUCUAUUUAGCUUGAGUAUGUGGAAAGAUACAAAAAAAAAAAUUCAGGAUGUGACACCACGGGUCGAUGUCGGGAGUCAAAGAUCGGCUUGACGGGUCACCGAAAUUGAUCGACCGCAGGUCGUGGUGGUGAUCGACUCUUAGUUGGGAUGGUAGUGGCUCGGGAUGUUUGAUCUCCCGAUCGAAAAUCCUUGGUUGCCGGUUGGGUUGUCGGUGCCGCUUGGGGAAGACGCUACUCGAUCAAGAUAAUCGCGUCUCGGAGUGGCCUCUCUCCUGCACACAAGGCCCUCGUCGGGUGGUUCCCGACUUUGGCUCCUCAACGAGUAAGUUAGUGUUCAGUUCUCUGUUUUUUGCCUCUACUUGGCCAGAUGCCAGCCAGGGAUUUUUAUACCACCGCAUGAGGGUAGGUCGUACGCGGAUUUGACAUAGCGAUCGAUCCUCGAGGGGCGAGAUGGUACUUUUAUGCGAUUGUCGUCCUGGGAUGCACGGAGCAACACUAGUCGACAUUGUCUUGGGGUGCAUGGAAUGGCGUCAGUCGACGUCGUCUUGAGAUGCACAGAACGGCGCCAGUCGGCGCCGUCCCAUGCUUUUCGGGACAUACUGAGAAACAACGCGGAUCCUAGCUUGGUGCGUGGGAGUGCUCCUCUUGCUGACCUAGUGAUGGAGUUGACUGUGACAUGGCCGGAGUCUAAAAUAUACCUUUUCACUUCUCCCCCCCCCCCCCACUGAGGCGUGCCAUGGGACCCUUGCGAGAGAGCGAGGGGCACGCUUAGGUCGGCGUGCUGAGGGUGAAUUGGUUGCUCGUGAGGGGAAGUUGGGCUUGGCGGGCGACACCCUAUGCAUUGGGAAGGGUUGAAACUAUUGGCCGGGCGGUUGGGCCUAGGUAGGAUGAUACUAGCGAGUCGUUGGUCAGGAGGCUGAGUUGUGCGACUCAAGUACAUAUUGGACCUGUUGGCCGAGUGACUGGUCUCGGGCACAGGUUGAACUGGCAAGUCACAAGUCGAGGGAGCCAACCUGCACGACUAGAACAAAGACUAGACCUGUUGCCGAGUGACUGGUCUUGGGCACAAGUUGAGGAUUGACGAGUCGCAAGUUGGGGAGCCAAACUGUGCGACUAGAGCAAAGACUGGAUAUGUUGGCCGAGUGACAGAUCUCAGGCUCAGAUUUAACUGGUGCGCCGCAAGUCGGGGAGUCGAACUGCGCGACUAGAGCAAAGACUGGACCUGUUGGUCAAGUGACUGGUCUUGGGCACAGGUUGAAUUGGCGAGUCACAAGUCGAGGGAUCGAGCUACGUGACUCAAGCAAAGAUUGGACCCGUUAGCCAAGUGACUGGUCUCGGGCACAAGUUGAACUAGCGAGUCGCAAGUCGGGGAAUCAAACUACGCAACUAGAGUAAAGAUGACCUGUUGGCCGAGUGACUAAUAUCGGGUUCAGGUUUAACUGGCGAGUCGCAAGUUAGGGAGUAGAACUGUGCAACUUGAGCAAAGACUAGACCUGUUGGCCGAGUGACUGAUCUCGAGCUCAGGUUGAGGACUAGCGAGUCACAAGUCGGGGAGUCGAACUGUGCGACUAGAGUAAAGACUAUACCUAUUGGUCAAGUGACUGAUCUCGAGCUUAGGUUUAACUGGCGAGUCACAAGUUGGGAAGCCGAACUGCGCGACUAGAGCAAAGACUGUACCUGUUGGCUGAGUGACUGGUCUCGGGCACAGGUUUAACUGGCGAGUCGCAAGUCAGGGAGCCAAACUGCACAACUAGAGCAAAGACUAGACCUAUUGGCCGAGUGACUGGUCUCGGGCUCAGGUUUAAGACUAGCGAGUCGCAAGUCGGGGAGCUAAACUGCGCGACUAAAGCAAAGACUGGACCUAUUAGCUGAGUGACUAGUUUCGGGCACAGGUUGAACUAGCGAGUCGUAAGUCCCGAGCUGUGUGACUCGAGCAAAGAUUGGACCUGUUGGCCGAGUGACUAGUCUCGAGCACAGGUUGAAUUGGCGAGUCGCAAGUCGAGGGAGCCGAACUGCAUGACUAGAGCAAAGACUAGACCUGUUGGCCGAGUAACUGGUCUCGGGCACAGGAUGAAUUGGCGAGUCGUAAGUCGANNNNNNNNNNNNNNNNNNNNNNNNNNNNNNNNNNNNNNNNNNNNNNNNNNNNNNNNNNNNNNNNNNNNNNNNNNNNNNNNNNUUGUUGGCCGAGUGACUGGUCUUGGGCACAGGUUGAACUAGCGAGUCGUAAUUCGAUGGAUCGAGAUACACGACUCGAGCAAAGAUUGGACCUGUUGGCCGAGUGACUAGUCUUGGGCACAAGUUAAACUAGCGAGUCGUAAGUUGGGGAGCCGAACUGUGCGACUAGAGCAAAGACUGGACUUGUUGGCCGAGUGAAUGAUCACGGGCUCAGGUUUAACUGGCGAGUCGCAAGUCGGGGAGCUAAACUAUACGACUAGAGCAAAGACUGGACCUGUUGGCCGAGUAACUAAUCUCGGGCUUAGAUUGAGGUCUGACGAGUCGCAAGUCGGGGAGCCAAACUGCAUAAUUAGAGCAAAGACUGGACCUGUUGGCCAAGUGAGUGGUCUCGGGCUCAGGUUUAAGACUGACGAGUCACAAGUUAGGGAGUCGAACUGCGCAACUAGAGCAAAGACUUGUACCUGUUGGCCGGGCGGGGCGCUGGGUGGCGCAUCAGGGUGCAUCGCGCCAUGUGGCAUGCCGAGUGGAGCGGCGCAGGUUCUGGCAGGAAGUUUCUUGUUAUUAGUGAUUUCUGGUGGGACGCCUCUCGUCACGAGCUGCUUCUAGUGAGAGACCUUUCGUCACGAUGGCUUCUGGUGGGAGCUUCGAGACCGAAGAAUCUGGGGAAAUCCAAGGAGUCAUGAUGGGCUUCGAAUGUUGCGACCAUCUCUUUCCUCGAGGAGUCCAAACAUCACUUCGCGGUGAGCUUGCUUCCACUUUAUAAGCUCCUUCCAGAACAAUGGCCACUACUUUGCUCAGCCUUUCAUUCCGUGCCUCGGCUCCUUCGUCCUAACUUUGAGGUCAUGAUGUCUCCGUCUUCCUCUUCGUCUUCUUUCAUUUCUUCCUUUUCAUCUUCUUCUUUAUCUUCUAAGGGCCCGGGGGUAGAGGUCGUUAGUUCGCCUUUGGGUGACAUGCCCUUGGGGGCCGUCGGGGGUUCCGCUUUACUUGAAACCCUCAAGGUGUGGCACGAUAUAGACUCAAUGGUGACCGAGGAACUCUUGGGGCAAUUCAGGAUCGCUACUGCAUCCUAAAGUACUAUGGUAUUUGUGCCUCUCGGCCCGGUCAAUAGCCAUAUAAUUCAUUUCCCAACAGAUUUGGGCUUAUCGUGGGUGCCCUCGAGGUGGGACUGCGGUUUCUGUUGCAUCCCAUUAUUGAGGAGUGUCUCCGUAAGUGGGGGAUAUCGUCAUCCCAGAUGGCGCCAAACUCUUGGCAAUAUAUGGUGGCUUUCCUUGUGGAGUGUCGGGGAGUGGGGAUCGAACCAACCCAGACGCUCUUCCUGGCCUGCUUUCGUCUGUGUAAGGUGCGAGGUGAGUAUUACCUAACCGCCCAUAGUGGUUUUAAGAUCAAUGGCGCUCCUUCCAACAAAAAAGGUUGGAAGAGUCGCUAUUUUUUUAUCAAUUGCAGUCAGGGGUGGAGUUUCAGUACCGGAUGGACUUCACGAACCAUCAACAAUGUCCCCCCAUUUCUGUAUAAUGGAGAAACAACGUAAGUGAAUCAUUUAAGGGGAAUUCGGUCCUCCUCUCGAGCAAUUUGGAAGAUAACCGAGGAAUGGCUGGUCGAGGUGGGACUAAGCCCAGCCACUUGGGGUACGACCACUCUUGCGUUGCGGAUCGUCCACCUUAUCCCGAGCUAGCUGAUUGAUCAGGUUUCUAUUUGCAGAUAUGGUGAACCUCCAGUCGGUGAAAGGGGUGUCUCAUGCCAAGGUCGUUGCGCCGUUGUUUCGGGACGACGAGGGUUCUGGUGCUAGGGGUGCCUCGUAGAAGGGCACACCAAGGAGGACGCCGGGAUCUCUGGAGGUAGGUUACCUAUAGAAGAAGGCAAAAAUCAUGACUCGAAAGAUGUACACGAGCUCUUUCGCCCCUGGGAGUGCCACCCCAAGGUCGUUUGAAGCCGCUCCUCAAGGCGAAGCUCUAGGGAGUGCGAAGGGAAAGGGGGUGGCCAGACCAUCUGGUGAUGACCCCUCAAGGAGGCCAUUGGAGUGUCCAAGGUCGAUGUGGGACUUGUGCCGUGUCCGACCUCGGACCAAGGGUGAUGAGUUUCAGGCCCUGCGCAUGGCCGACAUCCACGCGGGGGAGGCGGGGACCCCCUAUGCCUCUCGGUGGGCAAAUUGCCAGGCCAAAAAUAAGAUCUGGGCCGACGGGCUGAUUGCUCAGGAGUUUACCCAAGGGGCACUCCAUCUGGUGCUAGCAAAGGAGCUCUACUGCUCCUCCUCGAAGACGCUGAUGGACUGGGCGGCGAAGUCAUUCAUCUAGGUGCGUAGUGGUGUUCUUCCCUUGUGUUGAUUCUUCCUCCUGCGUAUGGAUUUUAACGUCGAUAUUUGUGUAGGGCCAGCAUUAUACCAUGGUGCUGAUCAAUCACGUUUAUGACGUCGGGAGGGUGAUCGAGUGUCUAUCGGAUGCCAAUUCCGGCCUUCGCUUGGAGGUCUUGGAGUUAAAGAGCAGAUCCCGCCUGGAGGCCGUCGCCGCGGUCGAGCAGUGUGCCUCAGACCUGGGGGAGGAGGUGGAUCAUCUGAAAGCCGAGCUGGAGGAAAGUUGAGCCCGUGUUCGGACACUCGACGAUGAGCUGCAGACCCUCUCCUAGGAUGUCGAAUUCGCCAAGUCUUCUGCUUGGGCUGCCGAGGAGGUUCUGAAGGAGGAGCGUCGGGCACUGCCCGAGAAGAUCAAGGGGGCGACUGUCGAGUAUAAGUCGUCUCCCGGGUUCGAGCGCGGCCUGGUGAGGUCAGGGCGGGUGGCAUAUGAGUUUGGGUAUCAGGUUGCCUUUGCUCGCUUUCGUGUGAGGUACCCAGACCUAGAACUAGAGUCGGACCCCUUCGCCGACCAGUAGAAGGAUCAGAAUGUUUACAUGUCAGCGAACAUCCCUUUCGACGAUGGGUCCAAGAUUCCUCCCCCGAGCUAGGGUUGUAAUAUUUUCUCUUUUGCCUUGGUCGGGUCAAAUUUUGAUUUUGUAUUGCCCGACCACAAUAUGUAUUUUCCUUUUGAUAAAUGAAAAUUGACUUUUCGGCAUCUUGGACUUCUGCCUGGUUUUCUACCUUCAUGGAUAGAAUCUUCUUAAAUUUGUUGUGUUCCAUGUCCUUGGUAGGGGAUUCCCCUCCAUGGUCUCGAGGUGGUAUGUCCCUUCUCGGACCACAUCGUAGACCCGAUAGGGGCCCUCCUAGUUUGGCGCGAGCUUUCCCCUCGCUUGGGUCGGGUCACUUACCUCGACCUUUUGUUUCACCCGUUUUUGUUUCAUCGGCCUAACCUCGGGAUGGAUGUUGAAGUGGUGUUGGGUCACCUCUAGGUCGAUUAUGGGCAUCUCCUUGGAGGACCACGCAAACACAUCAGCAUUUGCCUUCGGGAAAUCGAUGAGCUGGAGCUGGUUUGCUUCAGGGAGUGUCGUCCUGACCUUCACGGUUAAAUAGGAUUGGUUCCUCUUCAAGGGCACCUCGGUGAGUUAGUCAGGGGGCUCGAGGUGCAUUAGGGUCGCGGCUCCUUCACGGGGAUCUGGGACUCGAUAGGUGCAUGACCUCUCCGGGAGAGUAACAGCUAUAAGGUAGAUUCUCCUGGAUCUCUUCGGGAUUCCUCGACUCCUACCAAAGUUGAAAAUUUGAUGGCCUGGUGGUAGGUGGAAACUACCGCUUUCAAUUUGUUGAGGGCCGGGUGGUCGAGGAUGACGUUGUAGGCCGAAGGUAGAUCGACUACUGUGAAUGUAGUCAUUGUCAUCUUGGCUUUUGGCUCUUCCCCGAUAGUAACGAGGAGGACGGUGGUCUCGAGCAGGGAGAUGGAAUCUCUGGUGAAUCCGGCGAGCGCCAAGUUCAUGGGGGUGAGGUCUUCAUUGCUUAAGCUGAGCUUCUUGAAGGUGUUAAGGUACAGCACGUUGGCAGAGCUCCCGGUGUCAAUCAUUACUGUUUUGACCCAAGCGUUGGCAAUCCGGAUGGAGAUUACCAAAGCGUUGUCAUGGUGGGAGUGCUCGACCUCCUCGGUUCCGAAGGUGAUUUCUGGCUCGAACUUGGGUCGGGGGCGUUUCUCCACUGUGCUGUGGGCGUAGGCCUUCCUUGCUAUCGAGUUGCUACCACCGGUAGUCGGUCCACCAGUAGUGACAUCGAUCUGCCUCUCAAAAGGUCCCUUGGGGCUUGGAGUUGCUUCUCCUAGUUCCUUGAGGUAGCGCCUGAGGUGACCUCUUCGGAUUAGCUCAUUGAUUUGAUUUUGAAGGUCAUGGCAGUCCUCUGUGUCAUGGACAUAGUCCCGAUGGAACCUACAAUAUUUAGAUCGAUCCUUGUGAGUAGCCUUUAGGGGAUUUAGUUGUCGUAAGAGACCUUUUUCCCUGAUCUGGAGAAAGAUCUUGGUACAAGAUGUGUUCCGAGGCAGAGCUGGGGGCCUUGGGAGUGACAGCUCCAUUCGAUCGGGUCUCCUAUAAGACUGCGUUGGUGGCACCGAAACUAGUCCUUAGGCCGGCUCCAUCCUCGACCUUUUGUUAUCUUCACACGUCCCUACCAUUAGGGCUUCGACAGCGAUGUAUUGGUUGGCACAUUGUAGCAUCUCGAGGAUGGUUGCGGGCGGCUUCUCAAUCAAUGACCAGAAGAACUUCGAGGGUCUCAGGCCCAUCAGAAAUGCCUGCAUGAUCAGAGAAGGGUGAGCAUCCAAGAAUCCCCAUAUUUCAGUGGCAAAACGUGUCACAAAUUUGGAGAGUGAUUCAUCUUUGCGUUGGGAUAAUGCGAGCAAGGUGGCGAUGGAAGGCUUGGGCCGCACGUUGGCCAAGAAGUUUUGCUCGAACUCUCUUGCCAGCUGGUCAAAGGAUGAGACCGAGAAUGAGCGCAGCCGGCUGAACUAUGCUCGCAUCGAUCCUCUGAAGGUAGUUGGGAAUGCUCGACACAUCAAGGCAUCAGAGGUGCCAUAGAAGGCCAUCUGAGCCUGGAACGGAAUGAUGUGCUCUGCAGGGUCAGAGCCGCCAUCGUACGUUUCCAAUGCUGGUAGCCUGAAGUUAAGUGGCACAGGCUUGUCCUGUAUUUCUUGAGCAAAGGGGGAUCCACCUGAGUUGCCUUUGCCCGUCUCGCCUCGCGACUUCUGGAUUUCACGUUGGAACUCAUCCAAGCAUCGGUUGACCGCGGAUAGUUGGAUUAUGAAUGAGUCAUCCACUGAGUCUGAUGAUAUGGUAUUAGGUUUAGGGCACGGGCAUGCUUUGCUCGGGUAGGCCUCUCGGGUUUAUUGUCUACUCUCGGGCUUCUCCCAUCCCGAGUUGCUCCCUACUCGGCCUUUGCUGCAUCGGGUCGGUCGGGGAAGCUGCUAGUUGCACAAUCUAUGGCAUGAGCGGGAUGAUCAUCUGCAUCAUUCCCACCAAGGCUUGCACUUGCUUGGCUAAGCCGAGGAACGCCUCGGGCGACACGAUCGAGGGUCCCGUGGUAUAUCCGGGGGGAGAAAACCCCGGAUCAUUGAAUAGUCUCCAGUAACGAUUUGGCAUCAAGGCUGGGAUCCCCCUGUCUCUGAGGACAGGGAGGGGCUAGUCCCCAAGUCCGGAAGGGGGCUGACUAGCUAAUGGCUCACCCUCAACGAGAACUCCUACGGGACGCUCCUGCGACAUGGCCCUCAUUCUAACGUCGAAAAUGUUGAUGAACUGACGUACCGUGGCUGGUGAGUCAACACGGCCUGGUCCACGGGUCGAUGUCGGGAGUCAAAGAUCGGCUUGACGAGUCACCAAAGUUGAUCGAUCGCGGGUCGGGUUGAUGAUCGUCUCCUGGUUAGGAUGGUAGUGGGUCGAGACGUCUGAUCUCCCGGUCGGAAAUCCUUGAGCGUUGGCCAGGUUAUUGGUGCCACUUGGGGAAGAUGCCUCUUGAUUAGGAUAAUCGUGUCUCGGACUGGCCGCUCUCCUGCACACAAGGCUCUCGUCGGGUGGUUUCGACUUUGGCUCCUCGACGAGUAAGUUAGUGUUCAGUUCUCUGUUUUUUGCCUCUCCCAAGCUAGAUGUCGGUCAGGGGUUUUUUAUACCACCGCUUGAGAGUAGGUCGUAUGCGGAUUUGGCGUGGUGGUCGAUCCUUGAGGGGAGAGAAGGUACCUUUGUGCGACCGUCAUCUUGUGACGCACGGAACAGCACUAGUCGGCGCCGUCCUAGGACGCACAGAGCGGCACCAGUCAGCGUCAUCCUAGGGCGCACGGAACAACGCCAGUCGACGUCGUCCCAUGCUUUUCGGGACAUAUUGAGGAACAACGCAGAUCAUGGUUUAGUGCAUGGGAGUGCUCUUCUUGACCUGGCAAUAUCAUUGACUAUGAUGUGAUCAAAGUCCAAAAUAUACCUUAUCACUUUGUCUCAUUUCUCUAUUGUCAAUGACCUAAAAGUAAUCGUGGCAACUACUUGUUUUCGUCUUCCCAUACAUUAAUAACCAAAGAAAAUACUAAUCGUAAAUAUUGUGUCAAUAUCAAUUUUUUUUUCUUUUUCCUUUCCUUUUGAUAGGGCAUAUUUUGACGCAACUGUGUGGUAACGAGCAGCAGCCACCUCAUGACCGACGUGAUGCACGCGUGCUGACAAAGUACCUUGGAACUUAGGGUGGCAAAAGUCAUACCCAUGUUGCUUGGAUCUAUUCGAUGCAACGCUGUCCUACCUUAAGCCAUCCGCGAUGAUACAAGGCGGUGUCGCAAAGCGUAGAGCUGUGCAUGUCGAUCCGUGCCGCGCGGAAAGCAUGGGUCAACCUCCCAAGAUAUCGUAGAUCAUUAACAAGCCUCAUACAAUCGUUCCUCCAACAAACAGGCAUAAAAGCCAAUCCUCUUCCCACCAAAAAGGGGAGCACACCUAUAUACCACAUUGAACUAACUUAAACUUCGAAAUUGUUGAAUCGGAAAUCUCCCUCCCGACGUUGAUCUUUCUUGACAAGAAGGAACGACAAUCGAAGGCCCGCCUCUACCCGAUCAGUGAGAUGCUCCCUGACUCAUGUGGGCCCAUGUCGACUCCUCAUGUUAAGUUCCACAACACCUUUUUCACAUCAAAUUGUUUGCCAAAGUCAUCUAAACUCAGUUGCAAGUUUGAUUUCCUCAACUUCUUCCUUACUGAUAAUUAAGUUCUUGAUAUAGUAAAUUAUGAUAGUUUGAUGUGUCUAGAGAUUCGAAACCAAUCUAAAUUUAAUGUUUAAAUCUAUCACAAAUCUGAGUGCCGGAAUAUACUCGAGCCCGACCAAAUUUUCUUUAAGAUUACAUCAGGUGUGCAUCCAAUAAAGAUAUUUUUUUCUGAUACUUAAAUUAGUAAAAACAAAUUUAACAAUUUAAAAAUAUUAUUAGUAAAAAUAGGAUAUUAUAAAGGUCUUUUUUAUGAUGAUUUUCGGCAAUAAUUAGAAGAAAGUGAAAAAUAAUUAUGUGAAAUCUUCGUACUAUCUAUCGGAUCCAACCAACAACCGACACCGAACAAACAACAAGGUCGUAUCCUAUCACGUCGUUGACUUGGUUGCGGUCGUCCUCGUCCUUAUCUUCCCGAGUUCUGGCCAACCCUAUCCCCCUCGUGACGUCGAUUCAUCCUUGGAAGCACGUCCUUUGCUUAGCGAUAAGACCACCAAGGCAUAUGUAGUAACGUAGGUACCAGUUUAAUUAUCAUACGGUACACUUGCACGGAAUCAGCGCUCUAAUGCGAGCCUACUCUUUCCCGCUCCAGUGGGGCCGGAGAUCACGAUGACUCUGUUCUUCUUCGUCGAACCGGAGACGGAGCAAGUAGCCCUCAAUGUGUUCGACGGUGGGAACCGAGCCGUCGGGGUUAGUCUCAGAGGUGAACAGAGAGGAAGAUUCAUCUGCAAGCUCGAUGCCGGCCUCGUGCUCGUUCUUGUAACUGGAAGAACGUCUGCAGUAUAUUAGACAGGAAAUCUUUUCACACCAUUGAGCACCGAAGGGUGGUCUGCACAUCAGACACUAUCAUAUUACCAACUUCAAAUCAAAGAAAUAUGAGAAAUUGCAUCAAAAAUUCAACCGAAAAAAGGGACUCAUGGCAUGUUAGAAGAGGCGAGGGAGGUCCAUCCAUAAGAAAAAGCCUAAAGAUAGGUCACCCUCCGGCGAGAGGGACAGGAAAUAAAAAGGAAGAGGUUCGACGGACAGGCAUUUCAUCGAAUUCUUGGUGCGCACCUAUUCGUCGGAUCAUAUCGCCUUCUCCGGUACCGCGCGGUAGGGUUUUGGGAACCCAACCCUAUCCGUAAGCCAGGCGGCGAACUGGAGAAGCGAAGAAGAGCGCUCCAAAAGGGUGAUGCACGUCGCAGCAAAAUUACGAACCCAACACCGACUCGACUUCAACGGUGUCAACUCGAACCGCAUCCUUCUUUAGAUUUCUCUGAUCUUUUAAACCUGCGGGACGACCAAACUCACCCUUUUGCCUUCUCGAACUAAGGAGAGCAUGAGAUGCGGCCCCGCGUCGGCCCCACGCAUAUCAAUCGAUCGACACACCGGUAAACGAUUCGGGUGAGAGAUUUGUGUGUGCCGGCUCGGGACCGAGCUCCGCAAACUAAAUUGGGUCGAGUUUGUGGGUCGGUGGCCUACAAACCCAACCCAUCACAACUGAACUAAUCUUUGUUAGGUACUUAUUGAUCACGAUCGAUCAGAUUUCAACACGUGGAACUCAAUCGAUCAAUCUUGCCAUGUCAGCAUGAAUUAAAGGAAAAAUAUAUAUUUGUUCGAUUAUCUUAAUUUGUACUUCGGAUUCAUGACAUGAUGAGAAUUUACUUUUUAAGUAUUUUAUACUUAAAAUACCCAUGUUGCUUGGAUCUAUUCGAUGCAACGCUGUCCUACCUUAAGCCAUCCGCGAUGAUACAAGGCGGUGUCGCAAAGCGUAGAGCUGUGCAUGUGGAUCCGUGUCACGCGGAAAGCAUGGGUCAACCUCCCAAGAUAUCGUAGAUUGUUAACAAGCCUCGUACAAUCGUUCCUCUGACAAAUAGGUAUAAAAGAUAAUCCUCUUCUCACUAACAAGAGGAGCAUACCUAUAUAUAACAUCGAGCUGACUUAAACUUUAAAUGGGUGAAAUCAGAAAUCCCUCUCUCAAUGUUGACCUUUCUUGAUAGAGAGGAGUAGCAAUCGUAGGCCUGUCUCAAGUCGAGAGAUGCUCCUCGACCCAUUUUGGUUCCUCCGUCACAUCACCCGAUCCUCAUGUGAGCCCAUGUCAACUCCUCAACGUUAAAUUCCGCAACACCUUUUCACAUCAUCUAAACUCUGUUACAAGUUUGAUUUCCUCAACUUCUUCUUUACUGAUAAUCAAAUCAAGUUCUUGAUAUAGUAAAUUAUGAUUGUUUGAUGUGUGUAGAGAUUCAAAAUCAAUCAAAAUUUAAUGUUUAAAUCUAUCACAAAUCUGGGUGCCGGAAUAUACUGGAGCCCGACAAAAUUUGCCGUAAGAUUACAUCAUUUGUGCAUCCAAUAAAGAUAUUUUUUCUGAUACUUAAUUUUUUUAAAAAAAAGUUUAACAAUUUAAAAUAUUAUUAGUAAAAAGUAAAAAUAGGAUAUUAUAUAGGUCUUUUUAUGAUAAUUUUCGGCAAUAAUCAGAAGAAAGUGAAAAAUAGUUAUGUGAAAUCUUCGUGCUAUCUAUUGGAUCCAACAAACAAACAAACAAGGCGGUAUCCUAUCACGUCAUUUACUUGGUGACGUUCGUCCUCGUCCUUAUCUUCCCGAGUUCUGGGCCCCACGGCGAAGGGGGAAGUACAUCUAUCUUCCAACCCUGUCCCCCUCGUGACGUCGAUUCAGCUAAUCUUCUCGAGUUCUGGCCCCCACAGCGAAGGGGAAGUGCUUCGGUGACGUGGAUUCAUCCUCGGACGUACGUCCUUUCCUUGAGCGAUAAGGCCACGGAGACAAAUGCAAUAAUGCAGGAAUAAGUUUAAUUAUCAUACGGUCAACAUCAAGCAUACAAACAACGUCUAGUGGACCACUUCCAGGGCCCCACCCCUGUUGAAAUCUAAUCCCCGGAAGACCGAUUGUGUUUGACCAAUAAAAUGUUGAUUUGCCUUAAAAGAUUACCCGUGAGUUCUGCGCCCACCUGUCUGGUGAAUGGAGGACGAGAUGGAGCCGCCGUCGCCUCCGAUCAUAAGAAGCUAGCCGUCAGGUUCACGGAUGUGUGGGUAGAUGGAGUAAUUGCUCUGCGAGGCCGACUCGGUCCGAGUCGUGGACUACAUUCGACUCGGCCGAGCGGCGGAGCCCAUCUUCUUGGCUAUCUCCCUCAGCACGUACUUCUGUAUCUUCCCCGUCGACGUCUUCGGCAGCUCCGCCCGGAGCACCACCGUCUUCGGCACCAUGUAGCGCGGCAUGCGCUCUCGGCACCACGCGAUCACCUCGCUCUCCGUCGGUGGCGCCGCCGACGCUUCCUCCUUCAGGCUGACGAACGCGCACGGCGUCUCCCCCCAGAACUCGUCCGGUCGCGCCACCACCGCCGCCUCGUUCACCGCUGGGUGGCCGUACAGGAUGGACUCCACCUCCACGCUGCUCNNNNNNNNNNNNNNNNNNNNCCGCCAGCCCCGCCGUCUCCGUCAGGCCGUACCCGUGGCUGACGGCGAAGCCGAGCGCCUCCGUGCGAUCGAGCACCGCGGCGGGGGGCGGCGCCCCGGCGGUGAGGACCUGGACCGGGCCGUGGAGCGGGCGACGGGCGGAGUCCGGGGCGUUGGCGAGCAUGUUGAGGACCACGGGCGCGCCGCACAUGUGGGUCACCCGGUGGGUCUCGAUUGCGGCGUAGAUGGCGGCGGCGUCGAAGCGGCGGAGGCAGACGUUGACGCCGCCGGCGGCGGCGAUGCCCCAGGGGUAGCUCCACCCGUUGGCGUGGAACAUGGGGAGCGUCCAAAGGUAGGUGGGCCGCCUCGGCACGGACCAGUCGAUGAGGGAGUCGAUGGUGAUGAAGAAGAGGCCGCGGUGGCAGUGAACCACCCCCUUGGGGGCGGAGGUGGUUCCGGAUGUGUAGUUAAGGACCAUAGGGUCCCACUCGCUGCGGGGACGGACCCACCGGAACUCCGGGUCCCCCGUCUCGAGGAGCUUCUCGUACGUGAGGGCGGAGCUCUGUGGCGGCGGCGCGUCCUCGUAGGGAUCCUCGAUGGUGACGACCCGAGGGCGCUCGGCGGAGGCGGGGAAGAGUCGGAGGACGUCGUCGAGGAGGGGGCGGGAGAGGACGUCGACGAAGACGAGCUUGGAGGCGCUGUGGCGGAGGAGGAUGGAGAUGGUGCGGGCGUCGAGGCGGAGGUUUACGGUGUUGAGGACGGCGCCGCUCAUCGGCACGCCGAAGUGCAUCUCGUACAUGGCCGGAACGUUGGGGGCGAGCACCGAUACCUAAACCAAGAUCCAACGAUAACGCCACAGGGUCGAACAAGAUCGAAUCUCGAAGCAAAGAGAGACAACAAAAAAGAUCGGAUUUCAAAGACACGGAUCGUAAUAUGGAAACAGGAGGAGGAGGUUGCAGCGGUACCACAUCGCCGGGGGAGAUGCCGAGGGAGGAGAGGGCGGAGGCGAGGCGGAGGCAGCGGCGGAGGUUCUGCGACCAGGUGAAGGCGGUGCGGUUGUAGACGAGGGAGGGGCAGUCGCCGUAGACGGUGGCGGUGCGCUCGAGGAACUCGAGCGGCGUGACGGGGCAGCUGUUGGCGGCGUUGGGGCCCAACCCAUCCAUGGCGUUCCGCUGCUCUUUUUUGGUGGAAGGGG
rnacentral:lncRNA from 1 species